rnacentral:lncRNA from 1 species
AAUGCCUGGCAUUAGCAGUUGCUCAAGUAAUGCUAUUUUCAUAUUGUUGGCCAAUAGUGAAGUCUCCCAUGUUGCUUAAACAGUAAUAGGAAAUAGAAAAAUUCCUCUUGGCACCUGGGUUUGCAUGGCAUGGAUGUAUGGGCAUGUGUGUGCACACAUGUGCCUAGAAACACUUCUUCAACAUGGCAAGACUUCAUUAUUACGCAGCUUCAUUAGUCCUUCUCCAUUCUUGAGAUUCAAGCUGACCUGGUUCCAGCUUCUCAGAGCCCCUUCCUUCCACCCCCA